rnacentral:rRNA from 1 species
GACGUAGGGUGCAAGCGUUGUCCGGAUUUAUUGGGCGUAAAGAGCUCGUAGGCGGCUUGUUGCGUCAACUGUGAAAACCCGCGGCUUAACCGCGGGCUUGCAGUUGAUACGGGCAGGCUAGAGUUCGGUAGGGGAGACUGGAAUUCCUGGUGUAGCGGUGAAAUGCGCAGAUAUCAGGAGGAACACCGGUGGCGAAGGCGGGUCUCUGGGCCGAUACUGACGCUGAGGAGCGAAAGCGUGGGGAGCGAACAGG